rnacentral:rRNA from 1 species
UACGUAGGGCGCAAGCGUUGUCCGGAAUUAUUGGGCGUAAAGAGCUCGUAGGCGGCUUGCUAAGUUGAAUGUGAAAACUCUGGGCUUAACCCAGAGCCUGCAUUCAAUACUGGCAGGCUAGAGUUCUGGAGGGGAUAGCGGAAUUCCUGGUGUAGCGGUGAAAUGCGUAGAUAUCAGGAGGAACACCGGUGGCGAAGGCGGAUCUCUGGGCCUUACCUGACGCUGAGGCGCGAAAGCUAGGGGAGCGAACAGG